CUACGGGUUGCUCCAGUGGGGAAUAUUGGACAAUGGGCGCAAGCCUGAUCCAGCAAUGCCGCGUGAGUGAAGACGGCCUUAGGGUUGUAAAACUCUUUCGCUAGGGAAGAUAAUGACUGUACCUAGUAAAGAAGUCCCGGCUAACUCCGUGCCAGCAGCCGCGGUAAUACGGAGGGGACUAGCGUUGUUCGGAAUUACUGGGCGUAAAGAGUUCGUAGGCGGACUGACAAGUUAGAGGUGAAAUCCCAGGGCUCAACCCUGGAACUGCCUUUAAAACUGUCAGUCUAUAGACCGGAAGAGGUUAGGGGAAUACCUAGUGUAGAGGUGAAAUUCGUAGAUAUUAGGUGGAACACCAGUGGCGAAGGCGCCUAACUGGUCCGGUACUGACGCUGAGGAACGAAAGCGUGGGGAGCAAACAGGAUUAGAUACCCUUGUAGUC
rnacentral:rRNA from 1 species